rnacentral:pre_miRNA from 1 species
GGUAUUGUUAGAUUAAUUUUGUGGGACAUUUACAGCAGCAUCAGUAGCAACAUCAACUUGAGUUAAUGAAUCCCAAUGAGUUAAGUGACUUUAUUU